AGGAAUCUGUAAUCUUACUUUUCUUGAAAAGGAUUUUAAGGAUAAUUCCAGGUUCCAGGUUGAGAGUUUAUUAAAAUGAAAGUAUUAAAAUCGAAUUCUGAACUUAGCAUUAACUGACUUUGCCUAAAAGUCACUAUCAUUCUCCCCCCCCCCCCUUUCAAGGCUUGGUUUUAUUCAUCAAAAUUGAAGUCAUCGAGCACAGACGGGUUCAUAUCUCAGGAGUUUUUGAAACUUUAGGGGCACUUACAGGGGUUUCUGUUCUUUGGUCUUGUUCUUUUUUACCACUUGUUUGUGUGCCGAGACUCACUUCAGUGACACGAUGGCAAGUCACACUGAGUACCAUGAUCCUUUCUGGAUUUAGGGAAACGUGGCUGGAUGGCCUUGUGGUUCACAGCUCUCCAUCAGGCCCUCUGAGCAUCAGGCUAGCCGGGCUGUCUUUGAGAAAAUCUUUCAGAUGAGCACGGCCUGUCUAUCUUUUGCCUGUUCUACACCAAAGAUGUCUGUGUGAUUCGCUAGGAAAUUGCUCCCAGGAUUCUGUCACCCAGCUUAGAGCCAUGUCUGAAGCAAGAACAGGAAGUGCAGUGAAGCCUGGUGUUGGCUUGGGGGUGGGGGUGACGUUCUGAGUCACAAAUCCUUGGAGCCACAGGGUGGGGUGGAUAAAAGAAAGUACUGAUGGCAGACUCCUCCCAGAAGGCCUUUGUGAGCAGACGAAAUUGGCAUGCAAAGGCAGUGGUGUGGCCCAACGACUCUCCCAUGUGGAAGUUUGGGAAGUGGCCCUAGCUAAAAUAUAGAGUACCAGUCUGGAAAAGAUUUCAUUACGAUAGCUUUUGAUGUAUGUACUUGUAUGCUAUUUUUAGAAGCAGUUUGAUAAAUCAGUGAUUAUACAGGUGUUGCUCUUAGGAGUACUUUGAAUAAGUUGGACUCACUUGCCAAAUACUUUGUUCUUUUGGUUGUUAUUUUCUUUGCAACAAAUAGUUGCUUUUGAUUUUUAAGAUCUGUGAAUAAUAAAUAAAAUCAAAAGUCCAGGCAAGCUGACAUACCGUUCAUUCUAGGAGGCAAGUGAUAUUUGAGGUCAAGGCCAGCUACAUUAGUGACACCCUGUCUUAAAAAGUACAUUUAAAAAAAAAAAAACAAUCUUUUGUCUGAAGUUUGGAUGAAGUUAGGGAUUCGUUAGGAAUUGAUUGGCUUAAACUGAACAAUUCUAGAACAGAAGGCGUUGAGGAACAUCACAUUAGUGGUACUUUGGAGUCAGCUUUCACUUAAGUCACUGUAGGAGUAAGAUCACAUCAGUGUGAACCCAGUGUUGAUCCUGUCAGAUCCCAACUGUAACAGCAAGGGCAGCUCCUCGGCCAGACCACUGUCAGGGCGUUCUGUGGUGACUGCUUUCCUCCAGCAGUGGUCUCCAUUUAUGCACCAAAGGAUUUUCUUGUAAAGCUCACACUCAAGCUGAAGGGCUGGAGAUACGGCCGCUUCCAGAUGUGCUAGUUCAGCCCUCUGCAGCAGCCGAUGUCUGCAUCUGGCGGGCUGAGCUUCAGAUGUCGACGGGUCGGGAUGAGAGUAGGAACUUGGCGAAGGAAGCUUUAGUAGACGGUCAGGAAUGUGUGAGACCUUCUGCCUCGAAGCCUGCUCCCUCUGAUUAUCUCCAGAGGCAGGAAAGGGGAGAGACAGCCCAAAACAGUACUUUGGCAAGAGGGUGCCUAGGAAUGGUGUAGGGGACCUGGUGUCGUGGAUUUUAUGACUAGCUUGUGUAGCAUCUGCCUGUUUGUCCCUCUCUACAGCUUUCUAUCUCUAGGUAAAGCCAUAAAAAUUUGUCUCAACUUUUCAGCUCAUGUCUAUAAAUAAAUACUAAGCUAUCUCAAAUAUAAGGUUAUUGAUAACUAUUUUACAUAGGUUGAAAAGCUUUUCUGUCUACAGAGACCGCACGUCUGGUGGCUUUUCUUCCUACUAUGUAUAUAAUAAACUGCCUUGCAAACAGCAGGACAAGAGUGUAAGGCAAAGUUUCAUUUUGUUUUGUGGGUUUUUUUUGAGACAGGAUCUCGCCAUAGCCCAGGAGGGCCUCAGCCUUUAGAAUACUAGGAUUACAGGUGCACACAACUAUGCCCAGUUCACCCAGCGCAUUCCCGUUGCUACCUGUGGCCGAACUGUCUGGUGUAUCACUAGCAGUGCCACAGGGCUGAGGGGUAUGGUUUGGUGGAACUCCUGUGUAGUGUGUGAGGUCCCGAGUUUGAUCCUUACCACCG
rnacentral:lncRNA from 1 species